rnacentral:tRNA from 1 species
AGAGUGGCUCAGUGGUAGAGCAUCGGCUUCCCAAGCCGAUGGUCGCGAGUUCGAAUCUCGUCUCU